rnacentral:rRNA from 1 species
GAUGAACGCUGGCGGCGUGCCUAAUACAUGCAAGUCGAGCGAACAGACGAGGAGCUUGCUCCUCUGACGUUAGCGGCGGACGGGUGAGUAACACGUGGAUAACCUACCUAUAAGACUGGGAUAACUUCGGGAAACCGGAGCUAAUACCGGAUAAUAUAUUGAACCGCAUGGUUCAAUAGUGAAAGACGGUUUUGCUGUCACUUAUAGAUGGAUCCGCGCCGCAUUAGCUAGUUGGUAAGGUAACGGCUUACCAAGGCAACGAUGCGUAGCCGACCUGAGAGGGGGAUCGGCCAACCUGGAACGGGGACCGGGCCCAACCCCCUAGGGGAGGCAGCAGUAGGGAAUUUUCCGCAAGGGGCGAAAGCCUGCCGGAGCAACGCCGGGUGGGUGAUGAAGGGCUUGGGAUCGAAAAACUCUUUUAUUGGGGAAAAAAAAAUGUGAAAGUAACUAUGCCCGUCUUGACGGUACCAAAACAAAAAGCCGCGGCUAACUACGU